rnacentral:rRNA from 1 species
GGACCCUUCGGGGUGAAGCUCGUGGAACGAGCGGCGGACGGGUGAGUAACACGUGGGCAACCUGCCUGUAAGAUCGGAAUAACCCCGGGAAACCGGGGCUAAUGCCGGGUAAUACUUUUCUUCGCAUGAAGAUGAGUUGAAAGAUGGCUUCUCGCUAUCACUUACAGAUGGGCCCGCGGCGCAUUAGCUAGUUGGUGAGGUAACGGCUCACCAAGGCAACGAUGCGUAGCCGACCUGAGAGGGUGAUCGGCCACACUGGGACUGAGACACGGCCCAGACUCCUACGGGAGGCAGCAGUAGGGAAUCUUCCGCAAUGGACGAAAGUCUGACGGAGCAACGCCGCGUGAACGAUGAAGGUCUUCGGAUCGUAAAGUUCUGUUGUCAGGGAAGAACAAGUACCGUGCGAAUAGAGCGGUACCUUGACGGUACCUGACGAGGAAGCCCCGGCUAACUACGUGCCAGCAGCCGCGGUAAUACGUAGGGGGCAAGCGUUGUCCGGAAUUAUUGGGCGUAAAGCGCGCGCAGGCGGUUCCUUAAGUCUGAUGUG